rnacentral:snRNA from 1 species
AGCUUUGCACAGUGGCAGUAUCAUAGCCAACAAGGUUUAUCCGAGGCGAUUAUUGCUGAUUGAAAAACAAAGAUGAAUU